rnacentral:sRNA from 3 species
AUGUGCCCGCGGACACUCCGGUUCCUCCGCGUCGUCCGCACCAACCUGACGAUUAACCGUUCCGCUGUGUUCGCG